rnacentral:rRNA from 1 species
GCAGUAGCCGCGGUAAUACGUAGGUGGCAAGCGUUGUCCGGAAUUAUUGGGCGUAAAGGGCUCGCAGGCGGUUUCUUAAGUCUGAUGUGAAAGCCCCCGGCUCAACCGGGGAGGGUCAUUGGAAACUGGGAAACUUGAGUGCAGAAGAGGAGAGUGGAAUUCCACGUGUAGCGGUGAAAUGCGUAGAGAUGUGGAGGAACACCAGUGGCGAAGGCGACUCUCUGGUCUGUAACUGACGCUGAGGAGCGAAAGCGUGGAGAGCGAACAGGAUUAGAGACCCCUGUAGUCCCUGUCUCUUAUAC